CUCUAUCCUCUCUUUCCUUUUCCCCAUAGAUUUCUAUACCCUUCACUCACAAUCACAAAUGCCCAUUUUCCUUUACAUAUCCACAUGCAAUUGAGAAAAUCCCAAGAUUUUAAAUAGAAAAUAAUCAGUUCUUUUUUUUAUAUGCACACAAAGUUAGCUCACAAACCAAGAGCAGAUAAAAGUUUUGGGAACUACCCAAAUAGUAGUCCCUUUUAUCUAGAGAGUUGAUUG
rnacentral:lncRNA from 1 species